rnacentral:snoRNA from 2 species
GAGUGAAGAAUUACCCUCGGACAGAUUAAUGAUGAAGAGAAGGCAUUUGUCGGAUUUAAAUGAUGAGCUUGACCACUUAUGAAGCUAGAUGAUAUAACAAAGGUAGCCGCUGAGUAU